GUUCUCAAGAUGCCAGGUUUCACUGUAAAACUCUCCGUAAAAUAUAAAUUUACGGAGAGUUUUACAGUAAAACCUGGCAUCUUGAGAAC